UACGUAGGGGGCAAGCGUUGUCCGGAAUCAUUGGGCGUAAAGCGCGUGUAGGCGGUUCGAUAAGUCUGCUGUGAAAGUCCGGGGCAUCAACCCUGGAAAGCCGGAUGGAUACUGUCGGAACUAUGAGUACGGAAGAGGCGAGUGGAAUUCCCGGUGUAGCGGUGAAAUGCGCAGAUAUCGGGAGGAACACCAAUUGCGAAGGCAGCUCGGCUGGGAC
rnacentral:rRNA from 1 species